GAACAAUUUAGAUUAAAUUAUAAGAGAUUUAUCUCUCAAUAUUAUGAUCAUUAUCACAAUGAUAAAUCUUUAAAUUUAAUCAAGUACCUUAUUAUAUUAACAUUUUAAUAUAAUAACAAUAACAAAUUAUUUGAGACAUGAUUGAUUGGAUUGUGGUCAUACUCCUUAUUCCCAACAAUCUAUCUGAGGGUGAUACACAGUACUCAAGCUUAACUGAGUUCCAAAUGCACACUGAAAAGCUCCCCAGAACCUUGAUGUAAAACGAGGAUUCCUGUCAGAUAUAAUGGUAUAAUUAAUAGUUAGAAGAUAUAUUCAUAUGUUAAUUUGAAUUAAAAACAAGUGUUUCAAUAAAUUAGUUUAAUACACCAUUUGUUUUGAAAUACACGGAAUAUAUCUUCUAAUCCUCCUUAUUAAAAACUAAUUUAUUGACUAAUUAUUUACUAAUUUAACCGGAGUUUACAGAUAUAAUUAAUUUAUUAUAAUUGAUUGGAUUUAAUAAAUUAAAAAAAUAAUAGGAAAACAUAUGAGACAAUGAUUUUUUUAACUAAAUUAAUCUAUAUUUAUUGUAUUUAAUCAUUAUAAGUAACAAAUCAUCUGUGCUAUUAUAUACCUUAUAAAUUAAAGAAUUGAAAAAUAAUUGAUAUAAUAAAUUACAAUUAUUUGAUUGAUAUGAAUUAUAAUAAAUCGUGUGAUAUUUAAAUAUCUAAUCAAAUCAAUUAGUUGACAUAAUUAAUUUACUGUAAUAAAUUAUAUUCAAUGAAUUAUAAAAAAUAAAUUAAGAAACACACAUAAAAUUAAUGACGGAUCGAGAAAUUUUAAAUAGUGGAGGUAAACAUAUGGCAUAUAAAAAUAAUAAAAAAUAUUUAUAAAUAUAUCAAAAUAUAUAAAAAAUAAAUAAUAUAAAAAUAUUAAAUAUUAAAUAAUUUUUAUGUAAUCAUUAUCAAUAUUAAUAUAUUGAUAAAUAAUAAUAUGAUUAUUAAUUUAUCUUUCUGUAAAUUAAUAAUAAUAAUAAUAAUAAUAAAUGAAAUUAAUCAAAAUAUAAAUAAGUUAUCUUCUAAUCAAUAAUAAAAGUGAAAUAUAUUUUUUUAUGAAUUAUAUACAAUAAAUGAUAUUUUAAAUAAAUGAUAUUUUUUUAUGUUAUAUUUUUUUCAAUAAAUGAUAUCACGGGUAAUANNUUUUUUAAUAAUUAAAUAUCUCUAAAUAGUCUUUUAAAGUAUUUUUUUAAAAUUAAAUCUUACAAAAUUUUUGAAUUCAGUGAUAGAAAUGGACAGAAGUUCUAACUUCAGUCAUAUAGUAGAGAAAUAAAAAUCUUAAAUAGUUAUACUUUGAACAUAUAUUGAUGUUAUUAAGGUAUAAUAUAAAGGUUGCUAGCAAAUAAAAAUCAUAAUUAUAGAAACCAAAAACAAACCUAUUACCUUUUUUUUAAAAGAAUAUAAUAUUAUAACUAUUAAUAAAAUCUCAUAUUUUUUAUUUUUAUUUUUAUUUUUUUGUUUUUUUAUAUAUUAAUCUUUUUUGUAAAAAAAUAUAUUUUUAGGUUAUUUUUUAUUUAUUUCUUUCUUUUAAACUUAUUUUUUCUCUAUUUUUCUUUCAUAUUCAAGAGACAAAUAUAUUUUUAGAGUAUUGAUCAAAUGGUCUCUCUAAAUUGGUAUCCAUCCUAGACCAACAAAAAAUUAGUCGCAUCCAACAACCAAACCGAUCCUUUUAAAGUGUGGAUCUUAUCCGAUGCGGUGACAAUGCAGACAGAUAAUAUUCGCCGUUAUUUUCGUUAGCGUUUAUGUUAGGUAGCGUUUGGAAGUGGGACAGAGACUGAGAAACUGAGAUUGAGAGAUAGAGAUCGAGAGACUGAGAGACUGAAAUUGAGAGACAGAGACUGAGAGAUAAAGACUGAAAUAAGUCUCAGUAUUGUAUUGGUAUAAAGUGGAAGACAGAGACUAAAAUAAGAAUGAAGCUCUAAUUUAAUUUGCACAAAGAAUAAAGUUGGAAUUAGUUAAUUAAUUGAAAUGACGAUAUCUUAGGUAUAAAAUGUUAUUAAAAUUUCAGUCUUCGUCCCACCAAAUUUCAGUCCUCUGUCCCCACUUUUUGGAGUGAAAUUUUUGGAACAGAUACUGAAAUUUCAGUACUAGUCUCUGAACCAACAAACAUGAUAUUGAGUCUUGAUUUUUCAAUCUCUGUCUCAGAUACUGAAAUUUUUGUUUUCUCCUUUUCUUACUUUGACUAUCUUUUAUGUCAUAAAAAAGAUCUUAAUUUUCUUUCGGUACCAUAUUAAAUUCACAUUAAUAUAUAAGUUCAAAUUAAAGAUCAAAAUCUACCAUCAACAUCAUCACUUUAACUCAUCAAACUGUUAACGAACUAAGUUCAAGUUGGUUAAUGUUCUUCGUUGACUCAGUUAUAAAUCUAUAAACAAAUCAAAAUCAUGGUUUCACUAUAUUAAUACAACAAUAAUUUUUCAUUAUUUUAUUUUAAUACUUGAUUAAAUUCAUAUUAAGUGCUAGUAUUUUAUUUUAAACUUGCUCCUGAAUAAAUUUUAUUUUCAUUAGCUAUUGUUACAAAAAUAUUUCUAAUGAAUAUACUCUAAUUAAGUGAAUUAAGUUAUUAAACAUAAUUUUUAGAUUGAAUUUUGAGAAUAAUAUUUUAAAUUUUAUUCAUACAUCAAAAUCUCAUGAUUAAUAUAUUUCACAUAAUUAUACUGAUAUUUUGUUUCCUAAUAUGUUAGAUGUGAUAUGAUUUUAUUUUAAUUAUUUAUUAUUGCAUUAAUCAAUAAUUUUUUUAAUCUUAAAAAAUUUUAUAAAGAAAAAUUAUAUAUAUCUUGCAUUUCAUAUAUAAAAAUAUUAACAUUAAUGAUAUCAUUAGAAAAAGGAAAGAGAAAUUUGACAUUAAAACAAAGUGAUUUCAUUCUUAAAGAUUGGCCAUCAUUCAAAGAAAAAGAAGUAAUUAAUGAUCUCAAUUAAUAAUCCAUGAUUUAAGUAAAACAACAUAAAAUUAAUAUAUACACUAACAAAAUCAGAUCACUAGUACAUUAGAUAAGAAAAUGAUUCUUACAUUUAAGAUGACUGAAUUUUUUUGUUCAAUAAAAAAGUUUGAUUGGUUUAAAUUAUUAAACUAAAAUAUUUUUCGUAUAAAAUUUUAAAUUUAAAAAUAUUAUAACUAGUCCAACUGAUCGAGUUAAAUUUAGCAAAAUCACUUAAAAUCAUCUCCUAUAGAUUUAUAGAAUUUAAUUAUCUUAUGUAAUAUUAAGUUACUUUUUGAAUAUAUACUAAUCGAUACUAUGCAUGUGACCCUCUUGUCUUUUUCAUUAACCUCAUGGAUCCUAUUUUUUGCUCUCCUCACUUGCAUUCUCUCUUCAAGUUGCAAUUGAAUUUUGCUAGCUGUGCUAGGUACAUAAUUGAAUUGAAAUGUAUAAUAAAUUCGGCAUCUUAAAGCAUCUACAAAGUUAGGUGCACUAAGCUAAAACUGGUAAAUUACACUAAAAGUAAUCUAAUUAUAUAAAUUUAAACAAUCUUCAAAUAACAUUUAUCACAUAAUUUAAAUCUAUAAAUCAAAUUUUAUCGUAUGCAUCACAACAUUGUCCAAUUCAAUUUUAUUCGUUCAGCCAUGCUGAAAUAGCACCUCAAAUUGAAUUACAUGGUGGAACAGAAUUAGCACAAAGUGGAGUUAACUAACUAAUCUUUGCCGGUUUGUUAUGCAGAUAUCAUUGCAUCAAUAAGUUUUCUUUAAAAAUAAAUGACUAAAAGAAUGUAUAGCUGGGAGAUAUUAGAUUUUAAAGAAACAAAAGAAAUAUGACUACUUUAUAACUGUAUUAACAAUAAACAAAAACAGGAAACUGUGGUAAAAAAGAAAGAGUGCUCCUAAUCCAUUGCCAUAGCUUUAAUAUAAUUAGUGUGUAUGCACAAUAGAACAAAUAAAUAUGCUUUUGCCUCAAUGUAUACAAAUAAGUCAUAUGAUAUCCUGUUCAUAUAUAUAUUUCUAAACUCCUUCCCACCAGUCCCACCCGAGAGCUCAGAUAAAAUCAUUAUCUCAUUAAGAAGCACCACGCCAAUAGAAUCAAACGCAAUUACUCAAAAAAUAGAAUCUCCUACUUUUAGAAUUGAAUUCAUUUCUCAUUAAUUUCAGUCAAUCCUGAUCAAUCAGCAUUGAUAGUAGAACAGAAAAAACCUGAAAAGGAGGGCAUAAAACGUGUAAGGAUAGGAUUUAUAUGUAUGUAAUAUAAUGAUAAUGAGGGGGUGACGAAGUCCACUAUUUAGUCACGAAUUUAAGUAAAUCCGCAUGAUGGUCCCUGAGAUUUGGGUCGUUACUCAAUGUGGUCCCUGAGAUUUCAAUUGUACCAUUGUAAUCCUUCAGAUACGGCUCCGGGCACUAUAAUAGUCCCUAGACAGCUUUCCGGUGAUGAGUCAUCACCGACGAUCUGAUGUGUCACGAAGUUACCACGUUGGAGAGAGCCAAAAUGUUGGCGUUUUGGUUUGGCGCCCCAUUUUGUUAAAAACGUCGUCCAAAAUGAAAAUAUUAAACGGACUUGAUCAAACACAUACCCUCCCUUCACUCGUCUUAUCCACUUCCACUCUCUAUCUUCUUCUUUUCUUCUUCUUCUUCCUCCUCUCUUCAUCAAUGUUGCUACCUUAGGGUUCCAUUGGAGAUUGAAAUUCUUGCACUCAGAAGACAUCAAAAUCAGGUCUCACUUUGUCGUUCGUCUCCUCCUACGUCAGAAACAAGAGGUUCUGCCGUUAGUAAAGGUAAUUUUUUUUAUUCUUUUUUUGCAAUGCAUGAUGAUUUUUGUAUAUGCUUGUGUUGUGAGUGUGGUUGGUGUUAUGUUUUUUUUUUCUGUUACUAUAGUUCUAGAGUUUGAUUAGGUUGGGAUUUCAUGAGAUGCUCUGUUUGAUUAUGGUGUUGUGUUAUUGUCUCUUCUUUGGGCAGACAGCAUUCAUCGUUAACAAAGGUUUAGCAAGUUUACAUUUGAUUGAUUUGGGUUUAGGGUAACAAUAAGUGUUAACUAGUGGAAGGUUUACUUACUGAAAAAAAAGUUGAAAAUCAUGCUCUGUUUCAUGGUCAUGAGUGUUCUGUUUGAUAAAACUCUUAUCUAUUGAUGUCUAUUAUAUGAGUGAGUGCAAUGACUUGUAAUGUAGACAAUACUAUAAAUAUUUUUGCUGCAAUACUAUAAAUACGACAUUUUUAACAAAAUGGGACAUUCAAACCCACUAGUAGCAUUCAGCCUACCAAGCCUAUCAAGACCACCCAAAACACCAAAACAGAUAAAACCAACAAGUCCAAACAGCCCAACAAAAGUAGUAUAUCUAGGAGACCUUGUACAAGGUCUGCUACUAGAGGAUUCCAAAGCAAAGUUUUUAAUAUUGAGAUUCCUUUCGAGGUGUCUUCUGACUCUUAUGAGAGCGUAGAAGAUAGUCUUUUUAAGCCAAAUCUUAAUGAAGACAGCUCUUUUGAAUCAAAUACUGGGGUGAAGAAUGUCAACAGUGGGAGUAGGAGUAGGGUGAAGAAUGUUGGUCCUCUAGCUAAAGGAAAGGAGAAGAUUCUGGUUGAGGAUGAUGCAUUUGUACAAGAAGUUAGUGACAAAGAAGUGGAGGUGGUUCGAAUGUUCGUAAUGCAGACCAUAGUCAAGAACAAGGUGAAACUAAACAAUCACAUUGGAGUGCUCACACCGGUUAUAAAGAGUCGAUUGGAGAAAGUUAGAAAAGAAUCUAAGAAUUGGAAGCCUAUUUGGACAGGGCACAACGGAUACGAAAAGUUUGAGGUGCAUGGACACCCAACUAAUCAUGUGGUGGACUUAGGAAAAAGAUUAUGUACUUGCCAAUUUUGGAUGCUUACAGGUUAUUUGCAUUAUUAUAAUACUUGUUUUUGUGCUAUAUUAAUAAUCUGAUUAAUGGUAUAUGAGUAAAACCCAUGGUUGCUAUGGCUGUUGUUCAUAUGCAGGUAUUCCUUGUGUGCAUGCAUGUGUUGCACUGCCUUGAGUUAACAAGCCACCAAAAGACUUUUGUCACCGCUUGCUAAUGAUGGAGUCAUACAGAAAAAUAUAUAAUCAUCAUAUUAAUCCAAUUCCUGGACAACCAUUAUGCGAGCAUGCAGAAGAAUGUAACAGGCCACGUGCACCAAAAAUAAAGAAGAAACCUGAAAAACUACAGAUGAAGAGAAGGAUGGAUGCUGAUGAGAAGGGUGGUGGAGGAUCUAAAAACUCUAAAGUUGAUCCCAAGCCUUAGAGUAACAAUGAAGAUAAUGUUCAUCUAAAGAGGCAGUUGGACCCUUUUACUUAUAGUUUCUGUGGUGAUAAAGGACAUACAAAGAAAGGUUGCAUGAAGAAGAAAGCUUGUGAUACUACUGCAGCUGCUGUAGCUGUUGCAGUUACUGCUGCUGUUGCUAAGGCUGAUAAGAAGAAGAAAAAUGAAGGAGGUGCGCCUGCAUCUGAGCAGCAACUUCAGCAGCCUCAAGAUGAUGGUGACCAAUGUGAUGGAGAAGACAAUCCUCUUGUGCAGUCUAUUGAGAUUGCACCAACCACUUCUGAUGUACAACCUGUAGAGAUAGAUAUAUCUCAGCCAACUGCUUCUGAUGUAGAAUAUUCUCAAAAGGUAACUUCCUAUUUAUAUUUCUUAAAUUUUUUUGUGAUUCAAGUGAAUCAUCCUUUAUGUGUAAUGUAAAUUUUUUUCAUCUAGGAUUAUGGAAUAAAAAGGCCUUUAAAAUUAUCACCAAGGAGAAUAUCCUCUUCACUAGCAACCUCUGUCCCAGUGAAUCCCAUGCAGGGUGCUAGUUCAGGAACUGCAACAAGACUUGUCAAUUACAUGAAGUUCAUCGCAACUCCAAGAUUUAAGGCUCCAAGAAAGAAGAAUUGAAGACUUUAGCUUAAUAUGUAUAGGGCUUUCUGUUUUGAGUUUAAAACUUUUCACUAAACAAAGACUACACAAGAAAAAAACAAUCCUUUAUGUUUUGCUAUAAAGCCCUCUCUUUUGAGGUAACUUUGUUUAACAUGCUCAUGUUAGUUAGCUGCCCUUUGUGUUAUGUGACUGACUGUGUUAAGUUGAACUAUUAUCUUAAUACACUUAUCUUUUAAGUUUGAACCAUUAUCUUAGUACAGCGCUUGCUGGUUUUCAAUCACUUACGCUGCCUUCUUUAGCAUAUUACUAUUUUCAUUAAUUGAGUUACCCAAGUUUACAUUCCAUCAACAAACACCAUUCAUCAGUUUCUAAUACUAUAAUCAUGUUAUCAUUUUUUUACAUAUUAUUCAUUCAAUGAAUACAGGGUACACACCACCAACUCUUUUAACUCAUGCUUUACAAUAUAGGAUAACCAUUAACACUAUCAAUACAGACACAGCUAAUACCAACAAUUAGUUAACCAAUUUUUGAUUCCGAACAUGUUCUUCUAAUCUCCCAAGCCUCUAAUCAAAGUUCAUCUUCACUUCAUGAUUGUCUCCAUAAGAUUCUGGUUUCUCAAUUGGUUCAUCCUGCCCAAUGUCUGCCCAUGUAAAAAGUCUACAUCAUCUCUUUCCACUUGUCUAUAAUCAAGCAAACAUAUAACAUGCUCAAGCUUCAGGAAAGAAGAACAAGAGAAGAACAGUGAGGUAGGUAGGAGCAAUCAUAACACAAGUAAUACUGAUAACUCACAUUAUAAUUAGGACAACCAAAAAUGGUUUAUUUAGGUUUAAAUCUAUCCUAGACCACCUGAGAACUAGCCGGCAGCCGCAACCACACCAUUCUGGCAGCCCAGAUCUUCUGCUCCUACUUUACAUUCUCGUCUGAUGGCCACUGGACGGUGAACUAAUAAAGCUUCCAACUCUAGUGCUCCCACCACCCAUCAUGGAUAUUCGCUUCCAGCUCCAGGAACAAUAGCAACAACAAGAAUGGGAAGAGAACGAUGAAGAAGAAGAAGAAAUUAACUUACUGAACAUUUGGGAAUUUAGGGUUAAAUAUAGAGGGAGGGACCACAUUGAGUAUAAAUUGAAACUAUGCUAGCUCAACUAGCCGUUGACACCAUUCAGCGUGGCAAAAUAAGGCCAUGUUAGCAUCUUGAUGAUGACUCAUCACUGGAAAGCUGUCCAGGGACUACCAUAGUGUCCGGAGCCGUAUCUGGAGAAUUACAAUAGUGCAAUUGGGAUCUCAGGGACCACAUUGAGCAACAACCCAAGUCUCAGGGACCAUUAUAGGAAUUUACUCAAGUCUUCAAGAUUUGGAAAGUAGGAAAACAUAGUGACCCACAGAAUAAUGUUGCAAAUAAUGGGGGGGAACCCCAACUCUCUUUUCAUGACCUAAUAUCACUAUGGAUUUACCUUUGUUAGGAAUAGCCAGACAUAUUCCACUCAUUCUUGCUUCUGGAAUACCAUAAAUGUGUACCCUUUUGUCACUGCUGCCAGUAACUCAGGCCUCUUGUCCGAAUGCACGGGCCAACAUUGCUCGAUUAAAGCGCACAUUGCAGGUGGGCAAUCGGAAGGAAUAGCAGGCCUUGAAUUCUGAAUAAAUACAAAUAUCACAGAAGUGUUAAAAUUACUUGGGCAAAUCCUCUAGUUUGAAGUGUCAUAAUAACAGAGAAGGAAAAUCUACGAACAAGAAGGUCGAUCACCCUCAAAUUUAAUAAGCUCCAUUCAUGGUAAUCGUAUAAGCUAGAAUGAAAAAAGCCACUUGUGUAAAUUCAUAAUGCAAGUUAAUUCAUUUUCUAACUAGUGGACCUUACCUGCCAACUUUGCCAAGUAUAAAUGAAUAUAAUUUCUACCACUUCACCACUAUUUUAAAAGUCAUGCAGUCAAAGAGGUACCUCACCUAGGAAUUUUGCUACAAAAUAUAGUGUGCUUUCAGGGCAUCAAUGGGAUAUAAACAUAGACUAAAAAAGUGUAAACAAUCGUCUUAAAGAUUAGAGGAAGCUUAGAAAAAAUAAGAAAAUGUUUUAACCAAUGAAUCAUAUGUAUUUAGCUAAUGUUUGUACCAACCAAAGACAUGUAAUAAACAGCAAAUCAUUGAAAAGAAUGAACAACCAUACAAAUCUGACCUGCUCUAAACAUAACUAAGCAUGAUAUUACACAGUAAAUCAUAAAAAAAAAAGGAGAAAUAAUAAUUUCUAGCAACGAUCUCCCUUUAACAUUCAUUUUCAUGUACUAAGUGAUUAUUUAGCAAGACAACAAUAUAUUCAAGAUUCAAUCACUAAUAUAUUCAACUCACAUUUCCAGCAACAAAAACAUUUAGCUAAGUAAUUAUUUGAGCAAGACAGCAACAAAUUUAAGCUUCAUUGAUGAUAAUCAGUACAAAAUUCAUCUUAGUGAUGAUUUUAAGCAAUAAAGAAACUAGCUCAACAAAUUAUUCAUGGUUCAGUGGUAAUAAAUAGUAACAAAUUCACGUCAAUGAUGAUUUUCAACAAACAUAAAAACUUGUUCAGUGAUAUUUUCAGUAACAAAUUUCAGCACCAAAUUAAAAUCAAAGUGCAGUGAUGAAUUAGGGCAACAAAACUAAAAAAAUACCAGAGAACAACGACCAACCUCGGGACCGGCUACUUCUGCCGCCGGCAACGACGAGCGCGAGAAGGCACACGACUAAGUGCGAGACGAUGAGGAGCCAUGGAGCGACGAUGACGACUAGUCCUGAGACUGGGUUCUUCUGCCGCCGGCGACAACGAGCUCAGGGAAGGCAUGCGAGCGUGACUGAGUGCGAGAUGGUGACGACUGGUGACACGAAGAACGACAAAAACUUUGAGUGCGAGACCAGAGACGAGAGAGGGAAAAAGCUUGAGAUCGCGAGAGCUAGUGAGCAUAGAGAUGAGAUGAAGGAGAUGCUGAUUGCUGAGAGCUGGGGCUUUUUUGGGGUCAGAUUGAGAGAUUAGUGAGACAUUGAGAUUGGGCUUAGCUUGGCUUGGGUUUGGGUUAGCAAGGAUCUAGGGUUAGAUUUUAUUUUUUAAAGACUUAAUUGUAAUUUUAAAUUUUUAUGAAUCUAAAUGUCUAAAAAAUAAAAAUUUAAAGAUAUAUUUGUUAAUUUGAUAAAAAAAAAUUUAAAUAUAAUUCGGUUCAAAUUAUGUAAACCAAUCGAAUUGAAUCGGAUCUAAUAGUUAUAAUAAACAGAUUUUAUUCUGGUUUAUUAAAAAUAUUUAAUUGACCAGUUUAAUAAUUCGUCCAAUAAUAAUAUAACAUGUGUAACGUCUUUAAAAAAAGACAUUUCUAAUGUCUUUAUCAAAGUGACCGCCUUACCAAAAAUGGUGGUCAUGCCUAUGAUCUUCAGCUCUGAACUCUCAAAUGCCAUCAUAAUUGCAAUGCUAUCAUCUUAGUAUUUUAAAAAAAAAAAAGGGGGUCAAAAUUCAUUAUGACAAUUAUUUGAAGAGAUUCUUAUAAUAUUAUACUUGGUCUACCAACUCUCAACUUCAAAAAUAAUUCUGUUAUUUACUUUUUACUUAUAAGC
rnacentral:lncRNA from 1 species